UUACUCUGGUUUCCCUUCAAUACGUACAAAUCUUUCGCCUUUUACUAAAGAUUUCCGUGGAGGGGAACACUCAAAUGAGUCUAACUCAUGUUUUUGGAUGCUUCUGUUUCGACAGAGCU
rnacentral:snRNA from 1 species